rnacentral:lncRNA from 1 species
ACCAAUGGAACUUAAAAUAAAGUAAAAAACAAUAAAUUAAAAAUGGUUAGUUUAUUUUUUCAAUUUAAAACAUGAGAUAUUACGAUCAUCAGGUUUAUUUUCUCCCACUUUUAUACCACUCGUUUUUUGCGGUAACACCGAGCGCGAACCAGAAUCUUCCCGGAAAAGACUUCAUAAAACGCCGUCAUUUUGUUGUUGAUUCUGAUGGCAGUUUAGGACUUUGGCAAGAAUUUCAACAGCGGCAACAUUUUUUGUGUUAUUCAUCUUAAGACUCCAUCUAAUCUAGCCCCUCCUGGCCUGAGUGUGGAUAAUUUGCAAAGAGAGGUGAAGCUGAAGGAUCAUGGUGAUUGAUACCGUCGAAGCUUCCUCUCCGCCGUUUCACACUGGACAAUCUGGUCACUCACGCCACUUCUAUCUAGCAGUUGACAGGCUUCAAUUCAAAAUGCAAACCAUGCUUGAUCUGCUUGACUUGGUGGGUCGGCGUCAAUACUUCCCCAUUGUUGUUUGUUGCAGCAGCCGCGAUGACCUCGACUCUCUCUGCUCUUCUCUUUCCCCUCUACCUUUCCUUUCUUAUUCAGCUUUGUACAGUGACCUUGCUGAAGAUGAGCGUGCUUUUAUUUUAGACAAAUUUCGCCAAGUGGCAACAAGGUGGAACCAGAUUAAUCAUACUGGAACAGGAAAUGAGGAUGAGGUGGGGAAGGAUGAUGAUAGGUCUCAUGUGAUCAUCGUAACAGACACUUGCCUUCCUCUCCUUGCUUUAGGAGAGUCUCCCCUCAAUGGUCAUCUUCUGAUUAACUACGACAUACCAGCAAAGAAGGUCCUUUUCCCCUAUACUCUGUAUUUGCUAUGUCUGCUUACGUUUAUAUGUGCCAUGCCCAUACAGCCAUACCUACUAUCUUCGUGCAAAAGUCUUUUGUCGUAGUGUUUUUUCAUACUUAGUUUUCCUUCUAGUGAAAUUGGUCUCAUCAAACUAUUUCUCAGUUGUGAUUUGUGGUGUCAGCUUCACUUCCCUGACAUAUUAUUCCUUAAGUGGAAGAUCAUGUGGUAAUUAGCUAUUUCAGUUUUCAAAUAAUUGUCUACCUAUACCAAACAGCAAAUAGUGAUUGCUAACUAAUAUUUUGUUUCUUUUGCUCUCGAGAUUGUAAAACUUGUUCUUUGUGUGCACUGCGCCCUUGUUACUUACCAGUGAGAAGGGUGGUGGUGCCCUUUUCCUUUAUAUUUUUGGAAUUUGGUUUCAAGUUAUACUUUUGUUUCUCAAUAAUCAUUCAGCUACAUAUUACCUUAACUUGUCAACAUUGAUGAAGAAUGAUGGUUGGUUGGUUUAUGUGUUGUGAAAGUGGGGCAUGUAUACCUAUUAUUGUUACCUGUCACCUAAUGUAGUCUUUCUAUGUUUCUCAUCAAUUUUUAUGUUUACUACAGGAAACAUAUGGGAGGCGUAUGGCAACUUGUUUAACAGCUGGUCCUGUCUUUGAUACGCAGUCCUAUGUUUUUUAAGAUAUAGUUUGGGGUUUCCCUGUGUUGCUAAGAUUCCUCACUAUUGUGCAGAUGGAAUUGUCAUCAAUAUGGUUGUUGGUGGGGAAGUGGUCACCUUAAAGAGUAUUGAAGAAAGCAGCGGUAUUAUCAUGCAGGAGAUGCCAAUGCGAAAAAUACAAGUAACACCUGUUGCGGAAAAGAUUCUACCAUGCCGUUUUGGGUGGUUUGGCCAUACGAGAAAGCUAAGAAGUUCUAGUAAGAAGAGUAACCAUAUAAUUGAAAGUAAAUGAAGACCAAGAAAAUCUUGUAGUGAAGCCACUUAGAUUUAAAUUCUGGACAUUUUAUGAAGAGUUUAAUCUUUGCUCUUGGCCAAAGAAAACAGAAUCUGAGUGUUCGCUGUCCUUAUGAAUAGUUGAAGACUUGCUUUGAUUUUCCAGUUACCAGUUGCUACUCAAAAGAACAUAUAUACUUGAGCGGAUAUUUUUUAUAUUUAUUUUUCAGACUUUUAUAAGGACAGAUAGAAGAUCAGGGUUGUGCCAAAAUUUAUAACCAUCCAAAUCAAAUAUUUAUGCAGUCUUUAUCUCAUUUUCUUUCAUGCGACCCUCCAUUGUUUUUGUUGAACAUUUUCAUGAAGUUUUGAAGUCAAUGAACCCUUUUGGGUGUGCAUGACUUUAAAAGCCCAUGUACAAAGACCUUGCAGGUGCCUUUUACUCUUGAAAUUUUCAAAGGGAUAAUCAUGC